rnacentral:ncRNA from 1 species
UGGAAAUAUGAAAUGAGAGCAGGAGACCACUCCCCUUGGUUAGGGUGGAAGAAGCCCUAACGGACUUUUAAUUGUGUUUAAGACUGUCACUUACUUUGUGGCAUCUAAUGCACAUCCUGG